rnacentral:lncRNA from 1 species
AUCACGCUGCACGGCGCUUCCAAGUAUGAACAAACCUAAACGAAGACAGCUGGCAGGGGCUCUCGUCAUCUAACUCCUUCCAGAUCAUCUCCACCAGGACAGGCAAGGUGUUGGGGGGCAUCUGGGCUCGCAGCAGCAUGGCUGCAGCUCUCUAUCCUUCCUGGGGUGAGUGAGCAGGUCGGCAUGAGCUGGCGGCUUGUUGGCACCUCUCCUCCCUACGUGGAGCUGGGCCCGGGGAGCUGCAGCAGGCUGGGAGAGGAAAGAGGCGAUAAGCCGCGUCCCCGCCACGCGAUACGCGGGGAUUACGUGCGUGAGGCACCUGAGCUGGCACGCUCUGUCCCGGCACUGGCUGUGCUUGCAGCGAGGUGUGCUGGGGGCUGGUCGUCUCGGGCAUGACUCAGGCUGAUGAGCCCGCUCCUGUCCCGACAGGAACACCUCGCUGGAAGGUGUCUUUGCCUCCUGGAGGCUGGCUUGUUCCUGCUGCCAUCUCGCGUGGGUGCUUGGUGAGCCACCCGUGUGCA